UUAAAGGUUUUAAUCAAAACCAUCAAGCAAACAAAAGACAUAAAGG
rfam:Corvus brachyrhynchos isolate BGI_N302 unplaced genomic scaffold scaffold94, whole genome shotgun sequence.